rnacentral:rRNA from 1 species
UACGUAGGGUGCAAGCGUUGUCCGGAUUUAUUGGGCGUAAAGAGCUCGUAGGCGGUUUGUCGCGUCGGAUGUGAAAACCCAGGGCUCAACCCUGGGCCUGCAUUCGAUACGGGCAGACUUGAGGCAUGCAGGGGAGAACGGAAUUCCUGGUGUAGCGGUGAAAUGCGCAGAUAUCAGGAGGAACACCGGUGGCGAAGGCGGGUCUCUGGGCAGUAACUGACGCUGAGGAGCGAAAGCGUGGGGAGCGAACAGG